CCUACGGGUGGCAGCAGUGGGGAAUAUUGGGCAAUGGGCGCAAGCCUGACCCAGCAACGCCGCGUGAAGGAAGAAGGCUUUCGGGUUGUAAACUUCUUUUGUCAGGGAAGAGUAGAAGACGGUACCUGACGAAUAAGCCACGGCUAACUACGUGCCAGCAGCCGCGGUAAUACGUAGGUGGCAAGCGUUGUCCGGAUUUACUGGGUGUAAAGGGCGUGUAGCCGGGUUGACAAGUCAGAUGUGAAAUCCUGCGGCUUAACCGCAGAACUGCAUUUGAAACUGUUGAUCUUGAGUACUGGAGAGGCAGACGGAAUUCCUAGUGUAGCGGUGAAAUGCGUAGAUAUUAGGAGGAACACCAGUGGCGAAGGCGGUCUGCUGGACAUUAACUGACGCUGAGGCACGAAGGCCAGGGGAGCGAAAGGGAUUAGAUACCCUAGUAGUC
rnacentral:rRNA from 1 species